CCUACGGGGGGCUGCAGUGGGGAAUAUUGGACAAUGGAGGCAACCCUGAUCCAGCCAUGCCGCGUGUGUGAAGAAGGCCCUCGGGUUGUAAAGCACUUUCAGUGAGGAAGAACGCCUGGUGGUUAAUACCCAUCAGGAAAGACAUCACUCACAGAAGAAGCACCGGCUAACUCCGUGCCAGCAGCCGCGGUAAUACGGAGGGUGCGAGCGUUAAUCGGAAUUACUGGGCGUAAAGCGCGCGUAGGUGGCUUGAUAAGCCGGUUGUGAAAGCCCCGGGCUCAACCUGGGAACGGCAUCCGGAACUGUCAAGCUAGAGUGCAGGAGAGGAAGGUAGAAUUCCCGGUGUAGCGGUGAAAUGCGUAGAGAUCGGGAGGAAUACCAGUGGCGAAGGCGGCCUUCUGGACUGACACUGACACUGAGGUGCGAAAGCGUGGGUAGCAAACAGGAUUAGAUACCCCAGUAGUC
rnacentral:rRNA from 1 species